UACGGAGGAUGCAAGCGUUGUCCGGAUUUAUUGGGUUUAAAGGGUGCGUAGGCGGCCCUGUAAGUCAGUGGUGAAAUACUGCAGCUUAACUGUAGCAUUGCCAUUGAUACUGUAGGGCUUGAGUACAGAUGAGGUAGGCGGAAUUGAUGGUGUAGCGGUGAAAUGCAUAGAUACCAUCAAGAACACCGAUUGCGAAGGCAGCUUACUAAGCUGUAACUGACGCUGAGGCACGAAAGCGUGGGGAUCGAACAGG
rnacentral:rRNA from 1 species